rnacentral:misc_RNA from 1 species
GCCCACAAGGUUAUGGUAGCCACUGUACGCUGUGAAGAAAUUGCUCAUGAAAAGUUUACUUCCUUUACUUCUGAUGAGGAAUGGUGCCAACUUGAAGAGAGUGUACAACAUGGAAUAGUACCAGGUUUUGGCAAGAAGCUUAGCCAAAUACUCGACAAAUACCUAUCUGGAUAUGACACAGAAGUUUUAUAUUUUGAAGAACGUGUAAGGACUGCGAAACGGCAAGAAUUGG